rnacentral:rRNA from 1 species
UCUGGUUGAUCCUGCCAGAAGUCAUAUGCUUGUGUUGAAGAUUAAGCCAUGCACCUAUUAGUAUAAGGAUUAUACUCUUAAACUGGGAAUGGCUCAUUAAAUCAGCAAUAAUUUAUUUGAUUGUUCCACUUUAAAUGGAUACCCGAGCUAAUUGUUCGGCUAAUACAUGCGAAAAUACGAGACUGCCCUCGGGCGGAAUCGUUGUGUAUAUUAGAAUUCAAAACCAAUAGCUUCGGCUUUACUCGGUUGAAUCAUAAUAUCCUUUCGGACCGUGAGGCCUUGAGCCGACGGCGUUUCAUUCAAGUUGCUGCCCUAUCAGGUAAUUCGUAGUGUAUUGGACUACGAAGCCGUCGACGGGUACGGAGAAUUAGGGUUCGAUUCCGAGAGGGAGCCUGAGAAACGGCCGCCACUUCUAAGGAAGGCAGCAGGCGCGUAAAUUACCCAAUGAGAAUACCUCGAGGUAGUGAAGACCAAUAACAACUCUGGACCUUCAAGGUCUGGAGAUUGGAAUGAGUGGGUUCCAAACCAACCCGCGAUCCAAUGGAGGGAAAGUCUGGUGCCAGCAGCCGCGGUAAUUCCAGCUCCAUUAGUGUAUAUUUAAGUUGUUGCGGUUAAAACGUUCGUAGUCGAAUUUCGGGCGGUUUCGCCAGAGCGUCUGGCAGAUGCUGUGACCUUUGGCGUCCGUCUUUUCUCCUUUAUGCGACCCCGCGCUCUUAGUUGGGUGCGGGUGCUCGUUAAAGGUCGUUCACCUUGAACAAAUCAGAGCGUUCAAAGCAGGCCACCUUGGCCUUUGAAUGUUUAUGCAUGGGAUGAUGGAAUAGGACUCAGGUCUUAUUUUGUUGGUUUCUAGGAACUGAGUAAUGAUUAAUAGCAGCGGUUGGGGGUAUCGGUACUGUGGCGUUAGAGGUGAAAUUCUUGGAUCGCCGCAUGACCAACUUCUGCGAAAGCAUUUACCAAGCACGUCUGCAUUGAUCAAGAACGAAAGUUGAGGGAUCGAAGAUGAUCAGAUACCGUCGUAGUCUCAACCAUAAACGAUGCCGACCGAGGAUGUGCGAGAGUUUAUUCAAUGACCUCGUGCGAACUCCAUGAGAAAUCCGAGUUUUUGGGUUCCGGGGGGAGUAUGGUCGCAAGGCUGAAACUUAAAGGAAUUGACGGAAAGGCACCACAAGGAGUGGAGCUUGCGGCUUAAUUUGACCCAACACGGGAAAACUUACCAGGGCCGGACAAAAGAAGGAUUGACAGAUUGAGAGCUCUUUCUUGAUUCUUCGGGUGGUGGUGCAUGGCCGUUCUUAGUUGGUGGAGUGAUUUGUCUGGUUAAUUCCGUUAACGAACGAGACCUUAACCUGCUAAAUAGUCACGUUAGCCUUCUGAUGUGCCGUGAAGGCCGAGCAGCAGCC